AAAUGUCUCAAGAAUAGCCAUGCACGUCUAAGUACAAACUAAAUGAUGGUGAAACUGCAAAUGGCUCAUUACAACGGUUAUGAUGUACCCGGGAGUUCCGAUGGAUAUUUCCAGUAACACUAGAACUAAUACAUGUCCCUGCGUUUAUUAGUUUCGCACAGUCCGUCGCUGAGUCAUGGUAAACAGUUGAUCGACUCGACGUCCCGGAACAGUUUCCGCCCCAUCAGCUUCGAUGGUUGGGUAUUGGCCUACCAUUGCAACAACGGGUAACGAGGAAUUAGGGUUUGAUUUCGGAGAGGGAGCCUGAGAAACGGCUACCACAUCUACGGAUGGCAGCAGGCGCGCAAAUUACCCAAUGCAGACACUGUGAGGUAGUGACGAGAAAUAAUAAAGCGGGACUUCUGUUUCGCUAUUAUAAUGAGGAAUAACCAAAGGUCAUUCCGAUUAGCAACUGAUGGGAAAGUCUGGUGCCAGCAGCCGCGGUAAUACCAGCGUCAGUA
rnacentral:rRNA from 1 species